UGUGAUGCUACUGCUGGUUGCUAGGGACCUU
rnacentral:piRNA from 1 species